rnacentral:rRNA from 1 species
UACGGAGGGUGCGAGCGUUGUCCGGAAUCACUGGGCGUAAAGGGCGCGUAGGCGGCGGAGUAAGCGUGCGGUGAAAGCUCGGGGCUCAACCCCCGAGUCGGCCGUGCGAACUGCUCUCGCUCGAGCAUUGUAGAGGUCGAUGGAAUUCCGGGUGUAGCGGUGGAAUGCGUAGAGAUCCGGAAGAACACCGGUGGCGAAGGCGGUCGACUGGGCAAUGGCUGACGCUGAGGCGCGACAGCGUGGGGGAGCAAACAGG